rnacentral:lncRNA from 1 species
GGGACCCGGAGACAGCAUGAGUCUCAGCGCGCAGUCAGCAGAGGCGGUCCUGGCGCCAGGGUCCCAUGGAAUUCAGACAAGGAAGUAAAGCAAAUGAGAAUGGCCCACAGGGGAGCAGUUCAAAUGCGCAGAAAAAGAUAGAGCAGCCCCAAUGAGGAAGGAAGGCUGGACAAGAAAUGGAUUUGUAGGGAAGACAAUGUGCACCCAUCGGAGCUCUGAUUGCUUUACUUUCACUACCCUCCCCUGCCCACUAACAUCGAAAAAGUAUCAAUGGCAAAUUUGUGAACAUGGCAUAUGGCAUACGAACACCCUGAGAGUAGGAUCGUGGGGCAUCCGAUGGUGAUUGUCCUUAGAGUUGGUGGGGGCCCAGCUUCCCGCUGUCUGUGAACUGCUGCGUGCAGAAUCGGUGUCUUCUUUAACUUCACAACGAUGCCACAAGGCAAAUAGCAUUGUCUUCACUUUCUGUGUAAGAAAACUAAGGCUGGGUGAGAGUAUGCAGAGCUGGAUCAUGGAUUUGUUUGGCUCCUUCUAGUUUGAAAACCUGUGAGUAUUUUCCUGUCUCUAAUGCUAAUCUUAGCACUGUAUUUGGAAUAAGCAUAUAAACAUAUAACCACAAUCCACUCAGGUAAUAUGCAACUAAAUUAUAAAUAAAUGCUCAAUGAGAUUAUGAGUGAUUGAAUGAGCUAUAUAUAAGAAUAAUAACUGGUGGAAGUGUUAUUCAUAGGAUAAAGGAGAAAUCAUUUAAAUGGCUAACAGUAUAAGGAGGGUUAAAUCAAGCACCCAGGUGUGGAAAUAGCUGAUUUACAUAUAUAGUUUAUGCCAUGUAAAACGUUUAUGAUCUAAUAUUGGAUGAAAAAACAGAAACAACAUUUUAUAUACAGUAUAAUCUAAAAUGUCUACAUUUCAUUAAAAAUGCAAGAAUAUAAUUAUCAAAAUUUGAGUGAUAAAAUUAUGAAUGAUUUUUCUUUGUCUUAUAACUCAU